CAAGAGGAAUCUCUUACAGCUGCCAGAGGACAGGCCAGAGGAACCUGGCAGAGAACCAGGCCAAUCUGCUGUAGAACAAGGGGAAUCUCUUACAGCUGCCAGAGGACAGCCCAGAGGAACCUGGCGAGAACCAGGCCAAUCUGCUGUAGAACAAGAUGAAUCUCUUACAGCUGCCAGAGGACAGCCCAGAGGAACCUGUCGAGAACCAGGCCAAUCUGCUGUAGAACAAGAUGAAUCUCUUACAGCUGCCAGAGGACAGCCCAGAGGAACCUGGCGAGAACCAGGCCAAUCUGCUGUAGAACAAGAUGAAUCUCUUACAGCUGCCAGAGGACAGCCCAGAGGAACCUGGCGAGAACCUGGCCAAUCUGCUGUAGAACAAGAGGAAUCUCUUACAGCUGCCAGAGGACAGCCCAGAGGAACCUGCUAGAGAACCAGGCCAAUCUGCUGUAGAACAAGAGGAAUCUCUUACAGCUGCCAGAGGAACCUGGCAGAGAACCAGGCCAAUCUGCUGUAGAACAAGAGGAAUCUCAACUAUGCCCUCAGAAAUCUGGAGUGUGAGCUGUCUGAGGUGCAGGCCCUGUGCCGGAAGUCAGCCCGUACCUGGGAGAAUGGACUGUCCUUGCUGAGUAUGAGUCCUGGUACCUGCGGGACUUGACCCAAUCCACCAACAGGAACGAGCUGAUG
ensembl:lncRNA